GCCCUUGUAGCUCAGUUGGUAGAGCAAUUGAUUUGUAAUCAAUAGGUCCGCGGUUCGACUCCGUGCGGGGGCACCA
rnacentral:tRNA from 1 species